CAUGACCCGAGUCGAAGUUGGACACCCAACUGAUUGAGGCACCCAAGCACCCCAAAGUUAAUGUUUUUAAUUCAUCAUGCUUUUUUAUUCAAGGAACUUGGUUCCUUGAGGUUAUCAGUUUUGCUUUUAGACCUGGAUUCUUAAAGAAAAGUGAUAAUGGUUGUACAUUUGGAGAGGGGGUGAAUUUAAUACAACAUUAAGUGAAUUUUAAAAAUUAGAAUGUAUACCCUCCCUCAUUGCCUUCCCCUCUCCAACAAAUACAAACCACAAGGAACUGGAGGAAAUUCUCCCAUUGUGGGGCAAGAUUGAAUAAAGCUUACCUUUGAGCUUUAUCCUGAGGUCUCUCUUUUUAACCCUUCACAUACACCAACAUUGUAUAAUAUUAGGGGAACAAAGAUAUUUGGGUCUUAUGUUGAUUUGAAAGUUAUCUGUUAUCAGAUUUGCAUUUGAUGCUGACCCUUCCAAGCAAAUUUUAUGCCAGAUUCACCCUUCAGAAGCAUGUGUUAGGAAUGCUUUGAUUACCACUACCACCACCACCCAUCACUGAAAACUUGCCAUCUGUA